CAUGACGUAGCUUACUAUUAAAGCGCCUGGCCUACACCCAGAAGACUCCACAACCAAUGGACAUCAUGA
rnacentral:tRNA from 1 species